rnacentral:rRNA from 1 species
UUAGUAAAAUCUGCUCAAUGAAUCCUUAAAUAGCCGCGGCUAUCCGUGCUAAGGUAGCAUAAUCAUUUGCCUUUUAAUUAGAGGCUAGAAUGAACGGCUUAACAUGUUAGUACCUUUAUUUUUAGGGUUUCUUAAAAUUUUCCUGAAAGUAAAAAGACUUUCAUACCUCAGGGGGACGACAAGACCCUAUCGAACUUUACUCCUUUCAGUUGUGCUGGGGCGGCCUAAAACAAAUGCUUUAUCUUUCGUCUCAUUCCAACCCUCCGUAGGAUAAACCAAGUUACCGUAGGGAUAACAGCAUAAUUUUUUCCUAAAGACCUUAUUCAAGAAAAAGAUUGUGACCUCGAUGUUGAAUUAAUAUUCUUUUACGAAGCAAGAUUCUAAAAAGAAAGUCUGUUCGACUU